rnacentral:rRNA from 1 species
ACAACGGAGAGUUUGAUCCUGGCUCAGGAUGAACGCUAGCGGCAGGCUUAACACAUGCAAGUCGAGGGGCAUCGCGGUGUGGCAACACACCGGCGGCGACCGGCGCACUGGUGAGUAACGCGUAUG